AAAGGGAGCGUAGGCCGGAGAUUAAGCGUGUUGUGAAAUGUAGUGGCUCAACCUCUGCACUGCAGCGCGAACUGGUCUUCUUGAGUACGCACAACGUGGGCGGAAUUCGUGGUGUAGCGGUGAAAUGCUUAGAUAUCACGAAGAACUCCGAUUGCGAAGGCAGCUCACGGGAGCGCAACUGACGCUGAAGCUCGAAAGUGCGGGUAUCGAACAGGAUUAGAUACCCUGGUAGUCCGCACGGUAAACGAUGGAUGCCCGCUGUUGGCCUGAAUAGGUCAGCGGCCAAGCGAAAGCAUUAAGCAUCCCACCUGGGGAGUACGCCGGCAACGGUGAAACUCAAAGGAAUUGACGGGGGCCCGCACAAGCGGAGGAACAUGUGGUUUAAUUCGAUGAUACGCGAGGAACCUUACCCGGGCUUGAAUUGCAGAGGAAGGAUUUGGAGACAAUGACGCCCUUCGGGGCCUCUGUGAAGGUGCUGCAUGGUUGUCGUCAGCUCGUGCCGUGAGGUGUCGGCUUAAGUGCCAUAACGAGCGCAACCCCUCUCCUUAGUUGCCAUCAGGUUAAGCUGGGCACUCUGGGGACACUGCCACCGUAAGGUGUGAGGAAGGUGGGGAUGACGUCAAAUCAGCACGGCCCUUACGUCCGGGGCUACACACGUGUUACAAUGGCAGGUACAGAGAGACGGUUGUACGUAAGUACGAUCAAAUCCUUAAAGCCUGUCUCAGUUCGGACUGGGGUCUGCAACCCGACCCCACGAAGCUGGAUUCGCUAGUAAUCGCGCAUCAGCCAUGGCGCGGUGAUACGUUCCCGGGCCUUGCACUCACCGCCCG
rnacentral:rRNA from 1 species